rnacentral:rRNA from 1 species
AGAUUGAACGCUGGCGGCAUGCCUUACACAUGCAAGUCGAACGGCAGCACGGGAGCAAUCCUGGUGGCGGGUGGCGAACGGGUGAGUAAUAUAUCGGAACGUGCCCAGUCGUGGGGGAUAACGCAGCGAAAGCUGUGCUAAUACCGCAUACGAUCUAUGGAUGAAAGCGGGGGAUCGCAAGACCUCGCGCGAUUGGAGCGGCCGAUAUCAGAUUAGCUAGUUGGUGGGGUAAAAGCCUACGAAGGCGACGAUCUGUAGCUGGUCUGAGAGGACGACCAGCCACACGU